UUCGAUUGUUGACUUUAUUCGAGAGGAAUCAAAACAAUGGAUCUUCACUUUGAAAAACAACAAGUUUAAUUUUAUUUGGUUUUUUUUGGUGGUGAAAUUUGUUGUCCCACCACUCAUUCUAGAAACAUAUGUGCCAUCUUGCACCUUCGAUAAUCUAAUAUUCUUGACCCUAUAGAUUUUCAUAAUUAUGGCAUGCAUACUGCUGCUUCUUCAUCUUUAUAUUCGUAAAAUUCUGGACAUCACAGUGUUCUAACUAAAUUAUUUCAAUAUCUUGCAAGAGAAUGCACAAACAUUUGCUGAAUAUUUAUCUUCGCAUCCACAAGUGAAGAAGGUCAAUUAUGCAGGUCUUGCUGACCAUCCAGGGAGGUCUUUGCACUUCUCUUAGUUUGCAGGCUAUGGGUGCAGGAUCAGUGCUGAGUUGUUCUAACAGGUUCUUUGGCACUGUUUAAGCAUGUUGCUGAGGCUACCAAGUACUUAAGCAUUACAGGCAGUUUGGUGUUUUGAACUAAAAAUGGCUUACGAAACCAAAGAGAAUGAUUAAGAAAUGGCUCCAAACAUUGAGGAAAAGUAUUGAUGA